rnacentral:rRNA from 1 species
GACGAACCGAGCAAACGUUAUUCGGAAUCACUGGGCUUAAAGGGCGCGUAGGCGGUCUCGUAAGUCUGCGGUGAAAUCCUCCAGCUCAACUGGAGAACGGCCGUGGAUACUGCGAGUCUCGAGGGAGGUAGGGGCGUGCGGAACAGAUGGUGGAGCGGUGAAAUGCGUUGAUAUCAUCUGGAACUCCGGUGGCGAAGGCGGCACGCUGGACCUCCUCUGACGCUGAGGCGCGAAAGCCAGGGGAGCAAACGGG